rnacentral:rRNA from 1 species
UGAAGGCCAGGCUGAAGACUUUGCCGGAUUAGCUGAGAGGUGGUGCAUGGCCGUCGUCAGUUCGUACUGUGAAGCAUCCUGUUAAGUCAGGCAACGAGCGAGACCCACGCCCACAGUUGCCAGCGUACUCUCUGGAGUGACGGGUACACUGUGGGGACCGCCGCUGCUAAAGCGGAGGAAGGAAUGGGCAACGGUAGGUCAGUAUGCCCCGAAUAUCCCGGGCUACACGCGAGCUACAAUGGUUGGUACAAUGGGUAUCUACCCCGAAAGGGGACGGGAAUCUCCUAAAACCAAUCUUAGUUCGGAUUGAGGGCUGCAACUCGCCCUCAUGAAGCUGGAAUCCGUAGUAAUCGCGUUUCAACAGAACGCGGUGAAUACGUCCCUGCUCCUU